GACGAACGCUGGCGGCGUGCCUAAUACAUGCAAGUAGAACGCUGAAGGAGGAGCUUGCUUCUCUGGAUGAGUUGCGAACGGGUGAGUAACGCGUAGGUAACCUGCCUGGUAGCGGGGGAUAACUAUUGGAAACGAUAGCUAAUACCGCAUAAGAGUAGAUGUCGCAUGACAUUUGCUUAAAAGGUGCAAUUGCAUCACUACCAGAUGGACCUGCGUUGUAUUAGCUAGUUGGUGAGGUAACGGCUCACCAAGGCAACGAUACAUAGCCGACCUGAGAGGGGGCUCGGCCACACUGGGACUGAGACACGGCCCAGACUCCUACGGGAGGCAGCAGUAGGGAAUCUUCGGCAAUGGACGGAAGUCUGACCGAGCAACGCCGCGUGAGUGAAGAAGGUUUUCGGAUCGUAAAGCUCUGUUGUAAGAGAAGAACGAGUGUGAGAGUGGAAAGUUCACACUGUGACGGUAUCUUACCAGAAAGGGACGGCUAACUACGUG
rnacentral:rRNA from 1 species